CAGAAAAUAGUUUAUAUAGAAUAAUAAGUUUGGGGCUUAUAGAAGAGAUAAUCUUUUCUGA
rnacentral:tRNA from 1 species